rnacentral:lncRNA from 1 species
UGUAAAUCCAAAUUCUUCUAGCAUGAAACUCAUGACACUUUUAAGUCCUCAUUUCUCUCCUUCUGCUUAAACUGAGCUCUACUAGGAAAAGCCCCUGGGGAACAUCGGUUCCUGACUUAUUUGGCUUAGUUUGAAAACUGCCAGAUGCCACCCAGGAUACUGCAUUAGGAUCCUGCCAUAAAACUUCACUUUGUGCUGACUCAAUUUCAAAUGAGCCAUGAAGUAUUACAUUCUUGAGAAGUGGAAGAACUUUCACUGGCUUUUCGGCAGCACAUCAGCUGAAGUCAUAGAAGAAACAGCAAAAUAGGUCAUAAUGGAUUCGGGGCUGUGUUUAUAACCUGGACAACAACUGUCACUUUGUGUUUGGGGAAUUGUUCCAGAAUACGAAAACUGAAUGUUAAGGUGUUGAACUGUGAGAGGUUGUCAUAUGAAUAGGCAAGUGAUUUUCUGACCAGAGCACAAAGAAGCUGUGACCAACUAAGACAGCCCUCGUGCCUCACCACGAAUAGAGUUGUUUAAUUGGUGACUGGAUGUUCAAUUGUCCUGAGAUUAGUGACUUCAACAUGAAUUUUGGGGAACAUGUUCAGCACAUAACAUAGAUGAAAGAAGAGUGUCAUGAGCCAAGGAAUGUAGGUGGCCCGAAGAAGCUGGAGAAGGCAAGGAAAUGGAUUUUUCCCUAGAGCCUCCAGAAGGGAAAGCAGCUCUGAUGAUGCCUUAGUUUUAACCCAGUGAAAACCAUGUCAAAUUUCUAACCUACAGAACUAUUAGAAAAUCAAUUUAUGUUGUUUUAAGCCACUAAAUUUGAGAUUUUUUUGUCAUGUUAGUAACAGAAAGCUAAUGGAAUGUCAAAACUUAAGGACCAAAUAAAUACAUCUUGAGACCCUACUCUGUAUCCAUCUAUUAUUAUGGGCAGUAAUCUACCUCAAAAGGCUAGUGUCCAUUUCCACUUGUUCCAUAAAAAACACCCCAAAACACAGUGGCUGAAAAUAUCACUCAUUUAUUUUGGGUCAAAUGUCUUAGUGAGCUGGGAUUAGACUGCUCAAGGGAAGGUAGUUUUGGGGGCUGGUGAGGCUCUACUUCUCCUUACAGGUCUGUGAGUUAGCUGAGGUGGCUUUGCUCCACACAUAUCCUUAAUCUAGGACCAGCUAGCUGCCAGACGUGUUCUUAUCAUAAUGACAGAGACUCAAGAGAACAAGCCUAUAUACCUCUUAAAGUCAAAUCUUAGACUGAAGUACUGUCACUUCCAACCACAUGCCUUUGGCCAAAUAUUGUCACAUGGCCAAGUCCAAAAUCAAAGGGCAGAGAAAUAUACUCUGCUCAUAAUGACACCCAUAAGAACAUGUCAAGAACAUGGAUGCAGAGAGAGGUGAGGAUCUGGAG